UAGGGAAUCUUCGGCAAUGGACGGAAGUCUGACCGAGCAACGCCGCGUGAGUGAAGAAGGUUUUCGGAUCGUAAAGCUCUGUUGUAAGAGAAGAACGAGUGUGAGAGUGGAAAGUUCACACUGUGACGGUAUCUUACCAGAGAGGGACGGCUAACUACGUGCCAGCAGCCGCGGUAAUACGUAGGUCCCGAGCGUUGUCCGGAUUUAUUGGGCGUAAAGCGAGCGCAGGCGGUUAGAUAAGUCUGAAGUUAAAGGCUGUGGCUUAACCAUAGUACGCUUUGGAAACUGUUUAACUUGAGUGCAAGAGGGGAGAGUGGAAUUCCAUGUGUAGCGGUGAAAUGCGUAGAUAUAUGGAGGAACACCGGUGGCGAAAGCGGCUCUCUGGCUUGUAACUGACGCUGAGGCUCGAAAGCGUGGGGAGCAAACAGGAUUAGAUACCCUGGUAGUCCACGCCGUAACGAUGAGUGCUAGGUGUUAGACCCUUUCCGGGGUUUAGUGUCGCAGCUAACGCAUUAAGCACUCCGCCUGGGGAGUACGACCGCAAGGUU
rnacentral:rRNA from 1 species